rnacentral:rRNA from 1 species
CGCGUAGGCGGCUUGGCAAGUCAGAUGUGAAAGCCCCGGGCUUAACUCGGGAACUGCAUCUGAAACUGCCUUGCUUGAGUCCUGGAGGGGGUAGUGGAAUUCCCAGUGUAGCGGUGAAAUGCGUAGAUAUUGGGAGGAACACCUGCGGCGAAGGCGGCUACCUGGACAGUGACUGACGCUGAUGCGCGAAAGCUAGGGGAGCAAACGGGAUUAGAUACCCCGGUAGUCCUAGCCGUAAACGAUGGGCACUUGGUGUCGGGGGUAUUGACGUCCCCCGGUGCCGGAGUUAACACGUUAAGUCGCCCCGCCUGGGGAGUACGGUCGCAAGACUGAA